rnacentral:lncRNA from 1 species
AACAAUGGUACUUAUGAAAAUAUAUCAUAAAUUAUUGUUUGGUUCUGUUGCAACUCCAAUACCUGGUGGAGUUUGUUUAAACGUCUUCUUAAUGAACUUUUUUGAGUCAUUGAUAGUAACAAACAUUUUACCUUUCCUACCUCAUUUGGUAAAAGCGUUGGGUGUGAGCGAGAUAGAUGUUGGUAAG